GAAUAACUCUUGGAGCAUGCCUUAACGGGUGUGCUUCUGGUCUGAUGGAGCCUCGUCUCCUGAAGAUUUAUGUUUUUUUUUACAUCCAUAACACCUGUGAACUGUUGGAGACUUUGGUUGGGCUUCGGUCCUUCCACUGGCUCUAUUAUACCAAACUACGUAUUGUAACAAAUGUAAACUUAUUUUAAACAAAAUAAAACUUUUAACAACGGAUCUCUUGGCUCU
rnacentral:misc_RNA from 1 species